rnacentral:rRNA from 1 species
AACGAACGCUGGCGGCAUGCCUAACACAUGCAAGUCGAACGAGAUCCUUCGGGGUCUAGUGGCGCACGGGUGCGUAACGCGUGGGAAUCUGCCCUUAGGUUCGGAAUAACAGUUAGAAAUGACUGCUAAUACCGGAUGAUGACGUUAAGUCCAAAGAUUUAUCGCCUGAGGAUGAGCCCGCGUAGGAUUAGCUAGUUGGUGUGGUAAAGGCGCACCAAGGCGACGAUCCUUAGCUGGUCUGGGAGGAUGAUCAGCCACACUGGGACUGAGACACGGCCCAGACUCCUACGGGAGGCAGCAGUGGGGAAUAUUGGACAAUGGGCGCAAGCCUGAUCCAGCAAUGCCGCGUGAGUGAUGAAGGCCUUAGGGUUGUAAAGCUCUUUUACCCGAGAUGAUAAUGACAGUAUCGGGAGAAUAAGCCCCGGCUAACUCCGUG